rnacentral:rRNA from 1 species
GUAGGUGGCAAGCGUUGUCCGGAAUUAUUGGGCGUAAAGCGCGCGCAGGCGGUCCUUUAAGUCUGAUGUGAAAGCCCACGGGCUCAACCGUGGAGGGUCAUUGGAAACUGGGGGACUUGAGUACAGAAGAGGAAAGCGGAAUUCCAAGUGUAGCGGUGAAAUGCGUAGAGAUUUGGAGGAACACCAGUGGCGAAGGCGGCUUUCUGGUCUGUAACUGACGCUGAGGCGCGAAAGCGUGGGGAGCAAACAGGAUUAGAUACCCUGGUAGUCCACGCCGUAAACGAUGAGUACUAAAUGUUAGAAGAUUUCCGCCCCUUAAUGCUGCAGCUAACGCAUUAAGCACUCCGCCUGGGGAGUACGGCCGCAAAGGCUG